UUUUUUUCUGAGUACGCUUCCUUUUUGUCGUUGAAGCAAAGAAAAAUUGUCAUCUUCUCUGUUCAUCUCUUUACCACGGUGAUGCUUUUUAUCCGAGAUCAAGUCAUGGAGAGAUUUUUUAUGAGGAAAGCGAGGAUUCAAUCUCUUUGUCUCAGCUAACCUUAAAAUACUUAAGUGAUUCAAAGAUCGUUGUAGAUUGGAGACUCUGUAGCUUGAAACAUGCAACCAGCAAUGAAAGCAGAGGCUGAUGAAUCAGUGAGGAUGAAUGGAAUUGUUUGUUCAAGAUGGACGUCUCAAAUAAUAUACCGUUCGUGAUGAAACAAAAACUCGAAAUUUUGAAUCCAGUGAAUCAGAAUUGAGGAUCUCUAAGGUUUUCCAUGUCCUCACAGUUGGUAUUUAAUCACCUUGCAGAGAUCAACGGAGCAAAUGAUGAAUCUUUCUAUUAGGCAGAUGAUACAAAGAGAUAAAGUUCCCAAAUUUUACUAUGGUAUGUACGCAUAGGAGGUAACAAAUACACUGUCAUGUAUUAUUCUUCUUUCUCAAUUCAUUGUGUAUGGUGGUUUGUAAAUAAUAUAUAUGUUUUAUUUGAUUUGCAUGAUUUCAAACGUUUUGGAGUACGAAGACCAGACUCCUAUUCUGAUGGAGGGUACGAACAAGAUAUCAGCUCAAUCUAGGGUUUUCGACUGAAAACUCUAGAGACCUGCUUCUUGAAGAAGAUGAAUUUAAUCGAAUCUCUUCCAAGGCUUUUCGAGCAAGAUGAAUUGAAUCAAAUCUCUAUCAAGCUUGGUCUACAAGGAUGCACUCAAAAGUAUCUCCUCCAAAACUGGUGCUUUGUUUCCAAGAAUGAAUCAGUUUGAGAGUCAGACGUCAUUCCUCUCGGAUGAAGGAAAGAAAAAAAAAAGGUGCAAGGUAAAGAUCGGCAAUUGUGCAGAGCACUGUAUCACAGCUAGGAUUGGAUGGAUCGUUCAUUCCACGAACCUAUAUUGAACAGAUCCAACUUGAAAAAUUGAUAAAUGAACUAAUGAAGUAAUGGCCCUACCAGAUGAUUUGAACACCCUUACGAGCGUCUGCAGAUAGAGUGGCCAUGAGAAACAAGAACCUCAGAAGGUACACUUCCUUUGAGGGAGUGUAUGAGAAAACAUUGUUAAGCAUGAUUAUUGGGGGGUCCUUAGGGUGAGGUUCUUAGCCGAAUAUAAGAACCUCACCCCCAAUUAAACAUGCUCUUACAAUCCAUGUGUACUAAACUACUAAAGUAUGAUACACAGAGGUAUGUCACAUUCAUAUUCAACGCAAAGAGACAAGAAUCUGUCCAGGCUUGCUGAUUAUUCUUCAAGCGAUAUGAGGUACGAAGAAAACAAUCACGACUCACAAGCCAAAGAGGGGUUUAUGACUCAGCUUUCGGAACAAAUAUCAUCACUCAAUGAGAGAAUGGAGGAGUUCACAAACCGGAUUGAAGAGCUAAACUCAAAGUUGAGCUGCAACAGAAACUCUCCAAGCUGAAGUCUGCAAUGGCUCAGCUCCAACUUCAUAUUUCAUUUCUGGUCUAGACAAUGGCUGUUUGACAAAUUCUAUAAUGCUUCGUUCAUCCUCAUCCUCCCAAUUAGCCAAGGAUAUUAUGCCAUUAAUGGAAGAGAUAUUGACUCUCUCACGUGGACAGCGUCAAGUGAUGCAUCAAUUGGAUAAUCUGUGCAGUCUGAUUAGAGAAAGCUCAUCAGAAGAAAGGUCACGCCUAACGAGAAUGGGAAGCAGUAAUAGCGGCAAUGCGGAAUCUAGUAGACUGCCUCUCGUGUUAACAUUGGCUCUUCGUGUUUAGGAGCUACUACGUUAACAAGCGGCAAUAACAUUUAUAAGACUAUAAGCACUUUGUUUCUCGUCUCUUUUUUUUGGGUAUUUUUUUCUCACUGGAGGCGUUUUGUGAGCUUCCAUGGUUUAUUACUACGUAGACUAUUACACUCAUUCUCUUCUCCUAUUCUCGAUUAAUUUUAUUCAAUAAAGCUCAG